rnacentral:tRNA from 1 species
UAUAUAAUAAGCUAAAUAAAGCUAAUAAAGCUAAAUAAAGCUAAUAGGUUCAUACCCUAUCGAUAAAUUAAAAAUUUUUAUAUAA